CAGCCGCCGCGGUAAUACGAAGGGUGCAAGCGUUAAUCGGAAUUACUGGGCGUAAAGCGUGCGUAGGCGGUUUGUUAAGUCCGUUGUGAAAGCCCUGGGCUCAACCUGGGAAUUGCAGUGGAUACUGGGUCACUAGAGUGUGGUAGAGGAUAGUGGAAUUUCCGGUGUAGCAGUGAAAUGCGUAGAGAUCGGAAGGAACAUCUGUGGCGAAGGCGACUAUCUGGGCCAACACUGACACUGAGGCACGAAAGCGUGGGGAGCAAACAGGAUUAGAGACCCGUGUAGUCCCUGUCUCUUAUAC
rnacentral:rRNA from 1 species